CGAGGAACGGUGAGCAUGCCAACCUCAGUUUCAGUUUCAGUCAGUUAGUUAGUUUAGUCGGUUGGUCGCGAGUCUUUUCGGGGACCGAUUUUUUUUCAGCGCGUGCAAUCGUGAGAGCGUGUGUGAACUGCGGCGUAUUAACUGGAUAAAUUAGGAGUUUUUUCUGCUCUAUUUUUAAAAAUGUCCUUUUCUACACUAUUGGGAUGAUUUUUCCACUUUGAGAAUGAUUCCUGGCGUUGGAUUUCCGAACAGCCGACAGGAUGUGAUGGAAUUUCAAUUAGACGUCGUCGUCUCCAAGCAUGGUCAAUUGGGCGAAACGCUUCGCGGCAUUAGUAAUCGUGCAUUUUUUUUACUAUCGAAUUCACAAAACUCACGCUCAUCCGCAUACAUAAGUAGUUUAGGAAUUGUUUGAAAAGUGUCGUUCGCAUAACAAAUAAAAAAACACGAGCCUCAAAAUGUUUAACUGCCUUUGGCAAUUGUGGGAUUGGAUCGAUCCACCCACGUUCACCACGAUGGAGAGCAAGAAGCUCCAGCAGCUGCAGCAGGCCAACUCACACCUAGCACCGAUUCCGCAGACGAAGCCACCAACUUUCCAGCAGCAGAAUGCCGCCGAUUAUCGGCCUUCGCGGGCAUCGCCGGUCUUUCAGAACCACCCGCAGUACCAGAGCUUUGCGUCGAAUUUUGCCCAAAUCAACUACCCACACCAGAUUCGACCCCCGCAGCAAGUCGCACAGCAGCAACAGCAGCAGCAUCUUAGCGCCCACAGUAGUCCCAAAUCGAAUAGCAACAGUUUGUACCUUAGCGAAUACUCCAGCUCGAGCCAGCAACAGCAGCAGCAGCAGCAGCCAUCACAGCAGCAACAUCACCACAACACGAUCGGAAGUCACUAUCACUUUGACCAGAUCUACCAAACCAGCUCGCCGUCGAGUGGCAGUGGUGAGCGGGAACGCCUGUACCAGACUGCCCCCAGGCCAACGCAGCACACUCACACGCCAAGCCAGCCGGGCCCACCACAGCCACUCACCAAGCUGGAACUGCAGUUCCAACAGCUGCAGCGUGAAAAGAUCCAGGCCCAGAUUAAAACCGCCACGGAAGCGUUGGCCCACCAGCAGCAAACCUUUGCCCUUCGUCAGCAGCUCAAUCCACCCGUUCCCAACUAUCACCUGAAGCAGAACCUCCUUCAAAACCUGUCCCAGCAGCACCAACAGCAAAUCCAACACCAGCAACAACAGCUGCAGCGAAAUGCCCCUCCAUCGAGUCUGAACCUGACCAGCCACUUCCAGCCGGCCCAAGGUCCCAUGAAGCUGACGAAUCAUGCCAACAUCCAUGACUACGGUGCCACGGCGGCCACCAACCAGCAUGCGAUCAACGAAGCGUUCUACCAGCAACAGCAGCAGAAGCACAUCCACGCGGUGAUCAACAAAACGCCCAACAACAUGCAAUCCCCCGCCCCCAACCAGAUCAUCAUUCAGCAAAACAUUCCCGGCCAAGUGGUGAACCAAGCCUGCCAGACCCAAAUCAGCGGCGUCAAAAACAAUCAGCAGCAACAAAACCAAAAAUCACCCAACUCCGACUCGAUGUCCUCGCCGUCGCACGACGGCCUUGAACGCCGGAAAAGUGGUCCCGUACACACGCUCAAAUCUCCCGUCACCAAGCGACCCCUCAACGCGCCCGUCUCCAUGUCCGGCUGGCUCUACAAACAGGGCUCCGAUGGACUCAAAGUGUGGCGACGGCGCUGGUUCGUCCUGUCCGAGUACAUCCUCUACUACUACAAAAGCCAGGAAGAGGAGAAACUGCUCGGAACCGUCCUGCUCCCAUCCUACAAAAUAUCCGCGUGCUUCCCGGAGGACAAGGUCUACCGCAAGUUUGCCUUCAAGUGCGAACACACCAACAUGAGGACGUUCGUAUUCGCCGCCGAAACGGGCGAAUCCAUGACCAACUGGGUGCGGGCCUUGACCCUGGCCACAAUGAUGCAGGGCAGCAGCGAGUCCGAAACGAGUCCACCCUCGAACAACGCACGCAGCGGAGACAACAGCGAUUCUGGCAUUCAAACGUACCAAUCGCAGGUGUGCAAGACGGGAGCAUCCCAAGGACCGGUAACGCCCGUUUCCGACAACGGAGGUGGAUCGCAACCCCUGUACGCCAACGCACCUCCCAAACCACGCCGAGCGAACGACGGUGGGUACUCUUCCCCGAGUCCCGAACACAUCCCAUCCGAGCGAUACGACCAGGAUCAGCAGCAAAUCUACGGAAAAACUCCUGACUCGAGCUUUAUGCAGCAAUCACCCCAAAUCAAGCAGCAGCAGCAACAACAACAACAUCUAGGGUACGACCCGAACGCGUAUCCAAGUCCUGGCGGUGCUGGUGGUGGCCAAACUGUCUACAACGAUGCGAUCUACGGCAAUGCCAAGCGAAUCGAGCGGGACUUGUACAUCCAAAAGUUGAUCCAGCAGCAGCAACAACAACAAGCCCAACUCCAACAACUUCAGCAACAACAGCAAGUCCAACAGCAGGUUCAGCAGCUAGCUAUGCAGCAAACUCCACAACGAGCAUUCACAAACCCCUUCAUGUACCCGAACGCGGACCGACGAACACCGGACACGUACGGACCUCCGCGAGCCGCCCUGGACAAACACAUGUCCGACUACGAAGACAUCUACAACCUGACCAUGCUGUCCAAGUCUCUUCCAGCGGAAGAUCCAACACCUAGUGCAGCCACCGCCGCCGCAGGUUACCGCCGACCGAUGAGCCCCCUGCGCUACGACGGCCAAAACAUGCCCAUGCGUUACACUCCCAACUAUCUGGAGAACAACUCACCCGCACAGCAGCAGCACGUACAGAUGCGUGCCCGACCGGUCCAAUCGACGAUCCCGCGACCCCACUCGGCCGACUUUCUGGAGUACGAGGCGCGCAACCCGAUCGGCGCCAACUCCCUGAACGGCGUCAAGGGCGGUAAGCUAAAGGACGGCGAACCAGCUCGAGCACCCCGGCCCAAGUCCAGCCUGGACAUCAACCGAACCCCGGACAACUACUACUACUCGGAGGCGAGUUACGCGGAGAAGAUGCGAAUGCAGAGUGCGUCGUACCUGCAGCGGGCCGCGAACCUUGGAGCGGUAGCGGGGAAGGAAGUGCCGGGCGCCGUCAACUCUAGCACGGUUCCACGCGAUGGUUAUUACGGAGGUGCGAGUUCGUCCAACGGUCGACUGGACUACGAUGAAAACGUCCUGCACCAGGGUUCGGCAAGUGUCCCGCGAGCGCAGCGCAUGACGAUGAACAACCUCAAAAAGUAUCCCAGCCAGCAGGAACAAUUCGCUCGGUCGGCCAGCGCCCGGCUUCCACGCAAAGAGGAAGAUCCGUCGGCACGGGACGGUGAACGCAAGCGGGAAGAGUCGAUGAAGCGACUGCUCGAGUGGAAGCAACGAAUGCUCCAGUCGCCGCUGACGCGCAAAAUGUCUCAACAGCAAGCCCAACAGCUGGGACUCGGUUCGCCCGGAUCCACUGGUAACCCGUUCUUGAGCAAGUCUGGCCAGCUGCAGAUGGAGGCGGAGAUGUACCUGGAGCAGGAGAAGCAAAUGCAAGCUCAACACCAACAACAGCAACUACAGCAGCAGCAGCAGCAGCAACAACAACAGCAAAUGCAGCACCUAAGGGUUGACAACAAAUCCAACCUGGAGUACAACAGCUAUUCGUCAGACGAUGAAGCUUCCAUUUCAGUUCGCAACGUGAAAAACAUUCCCAAGGGAGCGCUGACGGUGAAACCGGACCCGUCGGACUACCGCACCGAUCCGAAGCUGGUCCAGGGUUAUUACGACCCAAGGCAGACCGAGUACUACUACCAGGACCAGGAAGGCUAUAUCCGGCCGGACAUAAGCUUCGAAUCCACCCACGAUCUGUAUACGCAAGCCCAGCUGCAGCGAGCUCAGGAGAUCAACCUGCAGCAGCACUACCAACUUCAGGAUAUCGAUCGCAGCUUAGCGGCGAUGAACGAAGAAUCUCCGGGAGAAAAGUGGCCACCGAACAUAAACCAACAGCAGGUGUUUACACCACGCGGUCCACAAACCCCCAACCAUCAUCACCAGCAACUGCAGCAGGACAAAUCCGAACUGAGAACGUUGGAAAUGUCCGCCGGGGACUUACUGAACCGUACACACGAAGAACUAGUCUUGCUGUUAAUUCAGUUGCGACGACAGAACAGCAAUACGGCACGCUCGAUCGAGCAGUGUUGCACAAAUAUACACGAUAUUCAGAACUCGAUACGUAUGUCUGACGGACCGUCCCGGGCGGAGAACCUGGCCCGGCUGGAGGCCCUCAAGAAGCAGCUGUGCGAGCUGGAGAAGCAGUACGAGAAGGAAAAGCCGCUGAUCAACCUGGUGGACAACAUGGUGAAGCUGGGCACGCUGUACCGAGGGGCGCCCGGCAAGGGCAAGAGCAAAUCGUCGUCCGGCUCGCUGCACGCGUCCGAAUCGGCCACGCUCGACCGGCUGGAGUUCAACCAGCGGAUCCAGGAGCGCCGGCUGCUGCAGGAAGAGCAACGCCAGUGGGACCGGCUCAGCCCGAACCACACCGAGCUGCAGUCCAAGGUCCAGCAGCUGUAUCAGAUCGAUCAGCUGCUGCAGGAGGAGUCCGGCACGCUGCAGAGCUUGCAGCGCGACAAGGAAGAUCUGGAGCGUGCGCUCGGUGGGUUGAAGGCCAAGAUCAUGAAGGGUGAGGCACCGGCACCGGCCAUGGAGGCGGCUCGGCAGCAGCAGCACACGCUGGAGCGCGAGCUGUCCCGGGUGCACCUGAUGCUGGCGGAGAACUCCAAGAAAUUGGAAAAGACCGUCGCAGAUAACGCUCGCCUGGAGCAGGAGUUGUUGGUACUUCGGCAGAAACUGCAAGCUUCGCGGGAUACGCGAGGAUCGCAGGCAACGCUGGUUCCGGGACAGGACGGACAGUACGUGGGUUCGGCAACGCUGGUUCUGGAGUCGGAACUGCGACGAGUACAACGACUGGUUGGCGAUAUGCAGCGCCAGCGUAACGAACUGAGCCAGGCGGUGCGACAGCUGACGGACAACUCGGACUCGCUGCACAAGCAGAUCAACAAGAACGGCGACUCGCGAUCGCAUAUUAAGAAACGAUCGCAAGGUGCUGCUUGGGUGGAGACUGAUUUGGAUUCGCUGGUCAGCAAAGAUCAGGGCAGGCACGAUAGUACGCUGUCGUUGAACGUUUCGGAGAAGCAGAGCUCGGUUUACGGAAGAAGCGAUCUCGAUCGUUCGGAAGCGUUCGAAUCUUGUAGCGUGGAUAGCGAUGACUUGUUGGAGGACUCUUCGGGUAAUCCGUUUGGAUAUCCGGAUAAGCAAGAGAUCAAGACGGUUCGGAUUGUUAAGCGCGAAUCGGAGCGUAGACAUAGGGAUCGAGAGAAGGAUCGAAGCAACGCUUCAACGCACAGUCUCGAUCAAGUGUUGGAAGAGGAAGCCCAGAUUUUCGAGGACUACAACAACUACCAUCGGGCAAAGUCGAUGCCGAGGGGUGUUUCGGAGACUCACGAGGCGUUCGUACAGAACCAGGACGUGCAGUCUUACUCGAGCAAUUUGAAGGACUACUACAGUAUGACGGCCAACAGCCAAAACAGUUACCCGGUAUCGAUGAUCGAUCGCAAGGCAGAUUUGUACUCUGGCUGUGAUCGUACACCUAUUGGUAAGACAUCCGCCAGCAAGGUGAGCACACUGUCGUUGAACAGUUCGAUGGACGGCGGCAGCGUUGAGUACUCCGGACUUCGCACCAAAACGGAAUCCAUUCAGAGUUUGACCAUUUCCGAGCAAAGUCCGGUGUUCCAGAGCGAAGCAGCCAAGCAGAUCCUCCAUGAAAUGGGCGCUCCCCAGCAGGGUGGUUCGAACGGGCUGUCCGCGUCGGAACGGCAGAAACAAAAGGCAGAACACAUGGCCCAGCAGAACAAGCAUCGGCGGUCGGUUCCGAAGGAGAAGCGGCGUCACCACACGGCGCCACACCACGUCAACGCCAAGCAGAUCGAGAUCAUGCAGAGUGAGAACGAUAUGAAUAAGAAUAACGUCAACUGGCGUGCGCGGGAUGACGUGGAUCUGGAGGUCACGCUGCGACCGCGAUCGAACGCCCCGGACGUGGUCCGGUCGGCGAUGGGCCCCCGCGAGAAGAUCUCCGAGCACACGAUCGACAAGCUGCUGGCGGCGCCCAGCAAGAUCCUGAUCCCCGAGCGGUACGUCCCGGAGCAGACGCCGGAGCUGUCCCCCGAGGAGAAGCAGCGCCGCCAGGAGAAGGUCGAAGCCAUCAAGAAGAUGCUGUCGGAGACGCCGAUGGCGGGCAAUGACACCUCACCGAAUCAGCCGGCCAACGCGGAGAAGCGACAACGGGAGCACCUGCUGCAGCUGAACCAGAUCUUGGCCCAACAGGUCAUGCAAAUGAGCAAAAUUGUAGCUGGUAAUCCGUACCAUGCCACUAAUCCACAAAAGUAGUGUUCGUUAGUGCCAGUCGUGCACGGUUGUUUUAAUUUCGUUUUUAUAAUUUAUUGAAUGCAAAUUUUCGUUGUUUUAUGUUUUAAGUUUGAAUGGCUUCUAGUGUUCAUGUUGAAUCGUUACGGAAUGUUUGAACCGAGUUGAGUCGAUGUUCUACACUGCUCGCUCUCUAUAUCUAUUGAUACUCUCUCUAAUGCCAUCUAAAUGUGUAUCACUCAUGACAAUCAAACAAAUCAAAUGUUUCCCAACAAAUGCUUGCCCAUCAACAACAACAACUACUACAACACUACAACAAACGAAACCACAACCAGACGACAAACCCCAGGAUCAGAUCACAGAAAAUUCGAUGGCAGUGCUCCCAUCCAGCAUCUGCAAGCUGCGCAAGCGAGGCAUGUUUAACCGCACCAGCCGCCGGAACUCGGCCGGAAUGGCUGCUUCUGCGGCUGCCGCCGCCGACGACG
rnacentral:misc_RNA from 1 species